GGGGAGGUACCCAAGCGGCCAACGGGGGCAGACUGUAAAUCUGCUGGCGUAUGCCUUCGGGGGUUCGAAUCCUCCCCUCCCCA
rnacentral:tRNA from 1 species